GAUGAACGCUGGCGGCGUGCCUAAUACAUGCAAGUCGAGCGAACAGACGAGGAGCUUGCUCCUCUGACGUUAGCGGCGGACGGGUGAGUAACACGUGGAUAACCUACCUAUAAGACUGGGAUAACUUCGGGAAACCGGAGCUAAUACCGGAUAAUAUUUUGAACCGCAUGGUUCAACAGUGAAAGACGGUCUUGCUGUCACUUAUAGAUGGAUCCGCGCUGCAUUAGCUAGUUGGUAAGGUAACGGCUUACCAAGGCAACGAUGCAUAGCCGACCUGAGAGGGUGAUCGGCCACACUGGAACUGAGACACGGUCCAGACUCCUACGGGAGGCAGCAGUAGGGAAUCUUCCGCAAUGGGCGAAAGCCUGACGGAGCAACGCCGCGUGAGUGAUGAAGGUCUUCGGAUCGUAAAACUCUGUUAUUAGGGAAGAACAUAUGUGUAAGUAACUGUGCACAUCUUGACGGUACCUAAUCAGAAAGCCACGGCUAACUACGUG
rnacentral:rRNA from 1 species